UAGCUGUUCUGAGAGGAUGAUCAGCACCACUGGAACUGAGACACGGUCCAGACUCCUACGGGAGGCAGCAGUGGGGAUAUGCACAAUGGGCGCAAGCCUGAUGCAGCAUGCCGCGUGUGUGAAGAAGGCCUUCGGGUGUAAAGCACUUCAGUCGUGAGGAAGGUAGUGUAGUUAAUAGCUGCAUUAUUUGACGUUAGCGACAGAAGAAGCACCGGCUAACUCCGUGCCAGCAGCCGCGGUAAUACGGAGGGUGCGAGCGUUAAUCGGAAUUACUGGGCGUAAAGCGCAUGCAGGUGGUUUGUUAAGUCAGAUGUGAAAGCCCGGGGCUCAACCUCGGAAUUGCAUUUGAAACUGGCAGACUAGAGUACUGUAGAGGGGGGUAGAAUUUCAGGUGUAGCGGUGAAAUGCGUAGAGAUCUGAAGGAAUACCGGUGGCGAAGGCGGCCCCCUGGACAGAUACUGACACUCAGAUGCGAAAGCGUGGGGAGCAAACAGGAUUAGAUACCCUGGUAGUCCACGCCGUAAACGAUGUCUACUUGGAGGUUGUGGCCUUGAGCCGUGGCUUUCGGAGCUAACGCGUUAAGUAGACCGCCUGGGGAGUACGGUCGCAAGAUUAAAACUCAAAUGAAUUGACGGGGGCCCGCACAAGCGGUGGAGCAUGUGGUUUAAUUCGAUGCAACGCGAAGAACCUUACCUACUCUUGACAUCCAGAGAACUUUCCAGAGAUGGAUUGGUGCCUUCGGGAACUCUGAGACAGGUGCUGCAUGGCUGUCGUCAGCUCGUGUUGUGAAAUGUUGGGUUAAGUCCCGCAACGAGCGCAACCCUUAUCCUUGUUUGCCAGCGAGUAAUGUCGGGAACUCCAGGGAGACUGCCGGUGAUAAACCGGAGGAAGGUGGGGACGACGUCAAGUCAUCAUGGCCCUUACGAGUAGGGCUACACACGUGCUACAAUGGCGCAUACAGAGGGCAGCCAACUUGCGAAAGUGAGCGAAUCCCAAAAAGUGCGUCGUAGUCCGGAUUGGAGUCUGCAACUCGACUCCAUGAAGUCGGAAUCGCUAGUAAUCGUGGAUCAGAAUGCCACGGUGAAUACGUUCCCGGGCCUUGUACACACCGCCCGUCACACCAUGGGAGUGGGCUGCAAAAGAAGUAGGUAGUUUAACCUUCGGGGGGACGCUACCACUUUUGUUCUUGGC
rnacentral:rRNA from 1 species